GAGUUUGAUCGUGGCUCAGGAUGAACGCUGGCGGCGUGCUUAACACAUGCAAGUCGAACGAAGCACUUAUCUUUGAUUCUUCGGAUGAAGAGGUUUGUGACUGAGUGGCGGACGGGUGAGUAACGCGUGGGUAACCUACCUCAUACAGGGGGAUAACAGUUAGAAAUGACUGCUAAUACCGCAUAAGACCACGGAGCCGCAUGGCUCAGUGGGAAAAACUCCGGUGGUAUGAGAUGGACCCCGCGUCUGAUUAGGUAGUUGGUGGGGUAACGGCCUACCAAGCCAACGAUCAGUAGCCGACCUGAGAGGGUGACCGGCCACAUUGGAACUGAGACACGGUCCAAACUCCUACGGGAGCAGCAGUGGGAAUAUUGCACAAUGGGGGAAACCCUGAUGCAGCAACGCCGCGUGAGUGAAGAAGUAUUU
rnacentral:rRNA from 1 species